CGCGGCACACACAGCUCUCCUCAGAGAUUACUGGCGGCACACAUGCGAUUGCUCGCAGCACGUACUGGCUUUCCACAAUAUUGCCUAUCCUGCUACCUCUGCUGGGAUUACAUAAAUGUUCUAAUAUGCUUGAACCGUAUAGUAUACUUAUCUUUUAAAGAUGUCAAGAUGUUAUAGAUGGCAGUUAUGCCAUUUUAAGUAUCCAAUAGUACUGCAUGAGAGUUUCAGUUGCUCCAUAUUCUUACUAACAUAUCUUGCUUGGUAUGAUUAGUCCUUGUGCAUGUAAGCAAUUGCUCUACCACUGAGUGUGUCUAAAAGUCUGGUUAGUGUUUUUUGUUUUUCUUUAUCAUUAACUAGGUAGGAAUAAACACUUAGUUUUGCAUGCAUGGGUGUGCGUGUGUAUGCAUACAUGUCCUGUGUGUUCAUUGUGUGUGCAUAUGCUUGUGUGGGCUCACCAAUUCUGGCUGAUGCAGCCAGCAAGCUUGGGAUCCUCUGGUUCUUUUUCCUAAGCACUGGGAUUGCAGGCAGGCUGCCUAAACAGCCAGGCUGAUUACAUGGAUGGGUUCUGGGGAUUUGAACACUGUCCUUACAGUUUCACAGCAAGUGCUUUUAAUCCACUGACCAAUCUUCCAGCCCUUUUAGUUUUCAGUGUAUUUUCCUAAUGAUUAACAAUGUAUCUCUGUGUGUGUGCGCGCACGCACGUGCUGAUUCUUAUGAGUUAAUUUUGUAUCCUGUUUCUUUGCUGAAAGUCUUUAUCAGCUGUAGAAGUUUCCUGGUGGAGUUUUUAGGGACUUUUAUCUGUACAUUCAUAAUGCCUACAAAUAAAGGUAGAUGCUGCCUGCUGUAAACCACCUUUGGUAUAUUGAUAUAUGUCUCUUGUAUUCCCUGAUCUCUCCAGGACUUGUAUCGAAAAGUGGCUAUUCCUGGUUGUCAACUUGACUAUAUUUGGAAUG